rnacentral:rRNA from 1 species
UAGGUGGCAAGCGUUGUCCGGAUUUAUUGGGCGUAAAGCGAGCGCAGGCGGUUUCUUAAGUCUGAUGUGAAAGCCCCCGGCUCAACCGGGGAGGGUCAUUGGAAACUGGGAGACUUGAGUGCAGAAGAGGAGAGUGGAAUUCCAUGUGUAGCGGUGAAAUGCGUAGAUGUAUGGAGGAACACCCGUGGCGAAGGCGGCUCUCUGGGCUGUAACUGACGCUGAGGCUCGAAAGCGUUGGGAGCAAA